UGUGCAGGGAAUAACUCCUGUCAGCAGCAAGGUCCCGACUGAAGUGGCAGCUGCAGUUGUUCCUGUGGUGUGGGCCAGUGGACUUGCAGGAGAGUGGAAGAGGGCAGAACCUGUAGGUAUUACCCCUACUGUGGGAUCUCUCCUGAAUGUGAAUGCAAGAACCUGCCAAGAAAACCAAUGGCCAAGAUGAUUGAUGAGUGCAGGACCUGAGAGAACCCCUGUAAGUGACAAUCUGGAGCAGUUUCCAGUAUUGGAUUGAAAAGAUGGCCUUUGCUGCAUCUCCUGGAGCAAGGAAAGCCAAGAAACCUUUGCUUUUGCAGGAGAAAAUCUGGAAAGCGGGAAGGAAGAAAAGAAGCCCCCUGACUCUUCCCUGAGCCCCAGACAGCUCCUGAACUGCCUUCUUGGGAAUGGUGGGAUGAGGUGGACUCUGGAUUACUCCCUCUGGAUGUGUGUGGGAUGGAGCCUGGAAACUGCAGAGAGCUGAG